ACGGAAGGCAGCAGUGGGGAAUAUUGCACAAUGGGCGAAAGCCUGAUGCAGCGACGCCGCGUGAGCGAAGAAGUAUUUCGGUAUGUAAAGCUCUAUCAGCAGGGAAGAAAAUGACGGUACCUGACUAAGAAGCCCCGGCUAACUACGUGCCAGCAGCCGCGGUAAUACGUAGGGGGCAAGCGUUAUCCGGAUUUACUGGGUGUAAAGGGAGCGUAGACGGACAAGCAAGUCAGAUGUGAAAUGCGGGGGCUCAACUCCUGAACUGCAUUUGAAACUGUUUGUCUAGAGUGCCGGAGAGGUAAGCGGAAUUCCUAGUGUAGCGGUGAAAUGCGUAGAUAUUAGGAGGAACACCAGUGGCGAAGGCGGCUUACUGGACGGUAACUGACGUUGAGGCUCGAAAGCGUGGGGAGCAAACAGGAUUAGAUACCCUGGUA
rnacentral:rRNA from 1 species